rnacentral:rRNA from 1 species
AACGCGAAGAACCUUACCUGGGUUUGACAUCGCCGGAAAACUCGUAGAGAUACGGGGUCCUUCGGGGCCGGUGACAGGUGGUGCAUGGCUGUCGUCAGCUCGUGUCGUGAGAUGUUGGGUUAAGUCCCGCAACGAGCGCAACCCUCGUUCGAUGUUGCCAGCGCGCUAUGGCGGGGACUCAUCGAAGACUGCCGGGGUCAACUCGGAGGAAGGUGGGGAUGACGUCAAGUCAUCAUGCCCCUUAUGUCCAGGGCUUCACGCAUGCUACAAUGGCCGGUACAAAGGGUUGCGAUGCCGUGAGGUGGAGCGAAUCCCAAAAAGCCGGUCACAGUUCGGAUCGGGGUCUGCAACUCGACCCCGUGAAGUCGGAGUCGCUAGUAAUCGCAGAUUAGCAACGCUGCGGUGAAUACGUUCCCGGGCCUUGUACACACCG